GGACAAGAGAGAACAGGCUGUGAAUGCCUGCAGGACGGUGGUGGCAGGUUGGAGCCAGGACGUGGAGGGCAGGAGUGGCCAGAGGGCAAGGCGUGCCCAGAGGCAAGGCACCAAGCCACCUGGGCACCUGGGAAAUGCCUUGAGCAACCACAGCAGAAAAGACAAAUAUCUCCUUGGGAAGAGGGUCGGGGAGAUGUCCACCCACUGUCAUGCACAUUUGAUGGAAACAUUAAAAAGUAUAACGGGCAAUGGUAUGCCCCCAAUGUAGAAUGCAUUGUUCAGGAAACAUGAAGUAGGUUCUGUCCAGGCACUGGCCUCCUCGGCUCUUCCUUCCCAUUCAUCUCACUGGUACACCGGAGCCGGGCAGCCUCUGGUUCUGAAAGGCCUGACUACCUCACAGAGAGUAACAGUCAGCUGUCUCCUUUUUUCUAACAGGGGCCAGCGGUGCCUCUACUUCAGCUACUCACAGCUGCCCUCGGAGCGUGUUGACACUGAAAUCACAGUAAGUGGGCACUGCAUCCUCAUGUGACCGCUGACAAUCAGGCCACGUGACAGAGGCUCAUUCAUCUCUCUCGUUCAUUCAUGUUGUUUGUUCACUCACUUGUUCAUCCAUUCAAAAACCAGUUGCAGAAUAAAAUAUCUGAAGCCCUGGUCUUGGGUCUCCGGGCUGUCUUCAGCCCUUACUAGGGGACCCUGCCCCCAUCACCCCUCCCUCCUCUCCUGUCCUCCACGUAAUCUGGCACCAAGGAUCCUUUCUGUUCAAGUCAGACCCUCUGGGGUUUGGGCAGCAGCAAGUGGAGCCUGAGAAAACACAAUGGGUCUUCUGGGCUUGGCCUGGGAAGGUGGAGGAGAAUGCUCCAUGGGCGAUAAGAAAAUGAAGAGGGAAAACCAAGAGCUGGGCAGGCCUGAGAACGCAGGUCACCACUUCCUGUGGUGGUAUUGUGUUCCCCAAAAUAUUGUGCACCCUAAUAAACUUAUCUGGGGCCAGAGAACGGAACAGCCACUAGAUACAGAGGCCAGAAAAUGGUGGCACACAUGCCUUUAAUCCUAGCCUCCUGGAGGCAGAGAUCCGGAUCUCUGUGAGUUCAAGGCCACACUGGAAACAGCCAAGCAUGGCGACUCACGCCUUUAAUCCAAGAAAGCGAGCCUUUAAUCCCAGGGAGUGAUGACAGAAAGCAGAAAGGUAUAUAAAAGAAGCUUUUGGCUGGCUAAGCAUUCAGGCUUUCGAGCAGCAGUUCAGCUGAGAGCCAUUGGGAUGAGGACACAGAAGCUUCCAGUCUGAGGAAACAAGACCAGGUGAGGUUAGCUGUGGCCUGUUCUGUCUCUCUGAUCUUCCAGCAUUCACCCCAAUAACUGGCCUCAGGUUUGAUUUUAUUAAUAAGACUCUUUAAGAUUCCUGCUACAACUUCCUAGGUCUUAAGUUAGGCCCUCACUGUCCCUUACAAGCCUGGGUUUCCAAAUAGUCUGUGAUGAGCCAUACCCACCCUUCUAGGAGGUUCCACAGUCCUCUGCUUGAUGCUCUGCAAAGCCCAUUGAGACCACGGCCCGUUUGCUUCAGAGGUCUUAGUUGGGUGACUGACUAUAUGAAGUUCUGGGAUCUGUUUCCUCUGUCGCUGACAGGGUUGGCCUAAUUCUCUAGCUCAAAUCCUAUGGCUCAGGGCCCUUGCCGGCUACCUGGCAUAGGCCACAGUGUUCAUUUCUUCCAGAGGUGAAAAAGAGGGCAGCAGGAGGCUCCUUCCCUAUGGCACAGAGCAACUAUACAGCCUUGACUAGAACCUGAGAAUCUAUGCUGUGCUGUGAUGGCAAGACCAGGCCACACAGGCAACCUCCAUGGGGACUGCUCAUCUAAACCUUCUUGGAGGCCCAAAGGCCUCUUGCAUCAGGCCCAUCCCUUGGGCCAGAGGAGGGCAGCUGGGUGUGAUCCACAAGAUGACAGGUCUCUGGGUUAAGGCAGAGGUGAGACUUAGGAGAGAAUAGUUGAGGCUACUGAGCAAUUCCACACAGGGAGGUGUUGGUACCCACUUGUGGGGACCAGGGAGACACAGGCAGGCCAGAGGUUAAUAAUGCUCCUCCCAUGUCCACUAGCACUCCUUGCCUCUGGGGCUGGAGGUGGCUGCCAGGGCACCAGACAACUGGACAAUCAGCUUCUGAGGAAAGAGACUGAUUGGUUCCAGGUGACUCAUAUCCUGGGACUGACAGGAAGCGCUUUCCGCACCGUGGAGGACUGUGGCAGCGGGAGAUGGAUGCUCACUUUGAGGCCACGCUCAGGCUGGCGGUGCUUCUUACCUGCGGGGCCCUCAUUCAUCCUUUGCUUUACCCUGGAUGCUCUGACAUUUGGGUAGUAAGUGAGGCCGGAGCUUAUGAUGUCAGUGGCUGGAGAAGACUGAUGGGGUCAGCAUUCACGGAUAUGAGGAAAGGUCUGUCACUGACCAACUCUCUUGAACCAGGAAGGCCCCUGAGCAUCACAAGCUGGUCGAGACGCGCCAGGCUCCGGCUUCAUUUUGAUGUUUGAGGUGGUUCUGUCUACUCUUUGCAGAGAUGGCUAGCAGGUGUUAAAGGACCCUGGCUGCCCACUCAUGGAGAGGAGCAGGGAGGUAGUCACAGGGGCGGCAAGCUCACCAGCUGCUCCUUGGCCUUAGAUUUAAAAGGGGAACCUUCCUCCCUCUGCUGAAUUCAGGUGGGUGAAAUACUACGCCGCAGGCUUGGGUAUCAAUCCUGCUUACCAGGUGGACCCCCAAGAACUCAGGGGUAGUUAACCACAGUACCCAACUCGGGGUCACUUUUCAAGAGGCUCUUGGAAGCCAAAGCUCACACCUAUAUUUGCAGCCCCAGGUUCUAAUGCUGAGAGUACACUGGUGGCCCACAACUCACCCUCACAGACCCUUCUCCUGCUGCCCUCGGAAGGCCCGUUCAUCUAUGCCAAGCCAGUGUCCAGCAGGCCACAGAAGCCUGAUCUUCAUGGGAACCCUUCUUCUAGGAGUGCAUUUCUCCAGGAUGGAUCUGGACUGGAGCCAGGGGUUUUAUUGUCAUUGGACAAAACAAGAUAUGCUUGGAGGAAACAGUUGAGAAACAGGCAUCUAGGUAAGGCUUUGUCAAGAUCCUUUCAUGACCGACUUUUUCUAUGCCAAAGUGUCCCUAUUGCCAAUGCCAUCCUCAAAAGCAACUUCUCACGGCCCCAGGAAGGCAGGUGACUAUCUUCCAACCCUUCUAAGUCACCCUGGGCAGGAGCUAAGGGUGCAUAUAGGCAGAGGGCUUGUGGGGGUGGCUGAGGAUAAUGCUUCUUCUCAAUGUGAGGCCUAGAACCCCAACUUUCCUAGGGGGGGUUUCUUAUCAAUCCCAUCCAAUCAGUCUGUGGCUCCCUGAGUCUACCAGAUUCUUGUUCCUACCCUCUCUUUCCUGUGUGGACCUUUCUCCUUGUCUCAAGGGGCUAUGACCCCAGGAGUCAGGGCCCUUCUCCCUUGGAGGCUUUCUGCCCCUCCCCUAAUUUCCCUCAUGGGCAUUUGCCUUGUACAUGUUGCUGCCUCCCUUCCUGUAGAAGCAGAGAUGGAGGAGGCAGCUCCUGGGGACAGGGGCAGGCCUGCUUCUCCGGGCUACCUUUGCUGCACAGGCUUUGGUGCUGGGUAUGUAUGGAGGCUGGCUUGGAUGAGCAUCACUAGGUUCUUCCUGUGUACCUUACACUGUCUCUAGGUGCCCUCUCUAAAAUGUGACAUGCCAGAAACUUCUGAGGCGUCUGGCUACACCCAAGCAUAUCUACUUCCCCAGACAUCAACUUAGGACUUCAUUCUCUUGUGGUGGCUUAGGACCUGGGGCUGAGACUGUCAUCAUCCUUAGAGCCUAGUGGCCAGCAAUAUGGUGGUAUUUUAUUUGUACUGAAAUGUGAUUUUAAUGUAUGUUAAUAAAUAAAGUUGCCUGGGGGUCAGAGCUAUUACAGCCAUAGCAAAAGCUGGGUGGUGGUGGCGCACGCCUUUAAUCCCAGCACUUGGUAGGCAGAGCUAGGUGGAUCUCUGUGUGUCAAGGAUACAGGCAGCAUUGGAGACACACGCCUUUAAUCUCAAUACCAUAGAAGACCUGGAGGGCUGUACAACAGACAGUGAUGAGGCAGUCAUGUGGUUGGUUUUACAACCACUGAGAAGGCAGAACAGAAAGUCUAUAUAAAGACAAACAGACAGGAAGUAGCUCUCUUUCGGAGAGGUCUCUUGGCUUAAGAUGCUAGCUGCAGCAGGCGGGUGAGGCUCUUAGCUCUGAUCUCUUGGCUUUCUUCUUUGCAUUGGUUCUGUGUUUCUUAUUUAAUAAGAAGGUUGGUUACAUCUACACAGCACUGCCCAGGAACACUAGGCUUCUGCUCCGGCCCCAACACUUGUAGGACUGGGCUGGGUAGCUCCCAGGCCCCACUGGCGCCAAGUGAGCUGACGGUUCUAGAAAGAAGCCUAACACUGGCUCAGCUGUGGGCACCUCCAACAAACCAUGAUGGGCAGGCUGAAAUACUGCCUAGGUGGGCAUGGGUGGGCAUGGGCAGAGGUGUCCACCUGCUCCCACCCAUGGCUACUGGCAGGCCUCUCCCAGAUGCCAUUGACUCAGACAUCAAUGAGGCUCCUGACCAAAGUCACCACUGUUCCACUGAGGUGCGAACGGGACCCAAACCUCUGAGUACGGGUAACUGGUACGAGCUAGAGCUCCUGUUGGGUUUCCAGGUGCAACGGCAAUGCAUGUACCUUUCCUGCUAGAGUCUGUGCGAGUGGAUGGACGUGUGCUGGGGUGGGGUGAGUUAUGCAUGUAUACCCAUCUAUGUGUGGGUGGACACACGUACACAUGGAAACAGAGCUGGGUCUGCAUCUGCAUGUAUUGCACAAUUAUAGCCAGACACACAGUAGGAAUGCUCAACUCCUGACACAGGCCACUUUACUUACUCUUCAGGACACUGAGAAAUAAUGCUAUUGUCAUUAAGUUUCCCACUUUAGAGAUGAGGAAGGGCUUAAAACCUAGAGAGUUCAGCUAGAGCUCUGAUCUUGGCACUACAGAGGAAGAGUGCUUGUUUCAUGCACGAGGGCACAGGUGGCUCCUUGACACGCUGGGCCCCUGAACACUGGCACUGAAGUUACCCUGUCUCAAUAUCGGCCAGCUGUGCAACCCUGGGCAGCUACUAAGCCUUUCUGAGUCCCAGUCUCCCUUCUGACAUUAGAGUAAUUAAUGGGGCCCGUCUCCCAAGGUUGAAGAAGAGAACCAGAGAAAAUGCCAGGGGCUGGACUGAGCUAGUUCCAGUGUGGUCAGGGCUGUUAAUCGCUAAGCGUCCCUGCCCUAUGCAUGGCUGGGGUAGUGUGCUUUCCACACAAGCGGAAUAGCCAUUCCACCUAGAAGGGGUGGGUGAGGGGCUCCCGCGCUCUGCUGGUGAAUGGAGAACUGCAGAGGGGCUUGUUUCAGAGGGGCCUGAGAGAGCACCUUGUGGGCAUGUGAUGUGCAACAACAGAAGCCUGGUCUUCCGGCAGAGCCCCAGGCUGGGGAGUCACCUACAGAGCAAAGUCCUGCUGCUGCUUUUGCUCCUCCGUCCUUCCCCAGGAAUCAAAGGCCCACAGGAGCACCCAGGUCAAUCCAGGGCAGCCCUACCUGGCAGGCCUCAGAACUGUCCCCUCUUAUCUUGGUUCAAGUGCCAGGGAAGGAGGGAAGGAGGGAGAGGGGGAGGGAGGGAGAGAACUAAGAGGCGUGUCCAACAUGCCCGGCAAAGGGUGGGGACAUGGAUGGCAAAGACAGGUCCAGCCAGGUGGCCCAUCUCAGGUCACAGGUAAUUUUUGGUGGCCAGUUGUUAACUAAGAGUCUAUCUGUCUGGCCAGUUUCUGGGAAUGCAUUUUAACUGAGUCUUCCCAAUGUUGGCACAUGGGGGCGGGGUUAGAGAAAAAGAGAGAGAAAAGACCAGAGGGAAAGAGAGAGGCACAGGAAGAGGGACAGUGGGAGCAGCUGGGCCUGAGCCUCUCCAGAAGGGGGCUGAGCCUGGCUGGGGGGUGGCAGGAAGUGAUGGGCACUCCCAGGCCACUGCUGUCCCCAGGGUGACCAGGCUACAAUGGCCUCCUUAAGUAGGGAGGAGAAUGAGCUCAUUAGGGCCAGAGGGAGGCCAGCUGUAUACAAUUAGGAUGUUAAUAAAGUCCUGUGAGGUCACUGCUCAGCCUAGGACAAAGCAGACGGUGGGGGAGGGAGACCCUAGUCCUUUCUUUCUCCCCUUCUGAAAUCCUCCCAAUCCUUCCAGAUGUUGAGAUGUGUCCUCCUUAAGGCCCCGACUCUCCCCACUCUUCUGGUUCUGCUCACCCUGGGACCGGGCCCAGUUUGGAUCCUGGUUUCAUCACUUCCUAACUGGGCCACAGAACCUCUCAGGGCCUUGCUGGCAUACCAGGGUAACAAUAACUAUCUAUGGGGGUGUUUCCCUCAGUCAGGGACACAGUGCUGUCAAUCACCUGGGAUGUUUACUGAGUUCCUGGUAAGCGCCAGGCACUGUUCCAGUGACAGGAAAACCACCCCCUAAGAACACUCGAGGUUCUCCUUCCCCAUCACCCCAGGCAGGGCACACAGCUGGGAGGCCAGCAGGAGAGGCCUGUCCUCCCUGCCCUAGUCCUGGUGUCAGCCUCUAGGCCCAAACCCAGGAUUCUCAGACAGGCUGCAACUCCGAUUCGGGGAUUUAAGAGACCUAGCAACCUUUAGCUGAGCUCCAGGCCUGACUUUUAUACCCAACUCAGUGUCCCAACUCUUUCCCACAGGAGCUAACACUACUCACCUCACCCAGACCUCCUAAGUCUCCCUCCCAUCCCCAGCUGACAAAGGGUGUGCCAUGAAGCCAGGCACUGAAGAAAUUGCGGACAUUUGUGGUCUUGAUGGUUUGGAUUUGGGGGGCCAGAAGCCCAUCCUACCAGAAUUCUCAAGCAAUACCCCAACCUGCUACCAGAAAUGCCUCCGUUCUGCCCCAGCCUCCUCCUCUUUAGAAGUGUGAAAUGCCCAGGCACGCCCACGUGUUUUCCUUGGAGAAGGUGGGAGAGUUGAGAUUAAUGUGCAUCCUAUGGCGGGAGAUAUAGGGAGGAGGGAAGGACCAUCCAGGCACACAUCACCAGCACUCACCACCUGGCCACGGCUGGGCCCUAAGGCCCUGGCCUCAGCUUCAUUUCCUUCCUGUUAGAUAUUAUGAUUAUAUAUACUGUAUUAUUACAGCGGAUCCAGGGCUUCUCUCUAGAGGGACAGAGGAACAGGAAAUGCAGCCCACUCAUACAUGCUGUGCCUUUAAGAACAGCGAAAGGCCAGCCUCCCUGGGCCAGGCCUCCCCUGGUCAGAAGGCUCUGUCACUCCAUCCUCUUGCCAAGACACACUCCAAUUCUCAGCAUGUGCCCUCCACUGUCCAAAGAAAACAGGAGAGGCUUUGGAGCCGGUCGAAGGCUCCCCAGUCCGUCCUGUGUACGCCCACACGCCGCUGCCCUUCUGACCCACUCACCUAGUCCUGUCCUCGGCACUCAUCCUAUUUUGUUGUCUAAGGCUCGUUCCCUUCCCCCAUAUGGGACCUUGAGGCCACAGGGGCCCAGAAUCUUCCCAGGGUGCCUGGAUUCCAGGACCAUGAGCACAGACUGCCUACAUCACCAGUUGGAAGGCUCCGUGGAGUCCGUGGCAAGCAGACAGGAGCUGGGCUGCUGCCACCUCUCCCAGCUUGGGCUGCCCACCUCACCAGAUGAACCCAGAGUGAGGCUGGGGUCUGUCAAGCCCCCAGGGCUCUGGUGGAGCUGGCCAAGUCAGAGUUAUGGGUGAGGUACUGAGGAGGUGGUUCAUCUAUCAAGCAUUUGCAGGCAGGGAGGGGUAUACGACAGAAGAGCAGGUCGGAACGGGCUUCAUCAGGGGCUCUGGAUCUAGAUACUGCCUGGGGUCAAAUCCCAGCCCUGAUAAUUCCUAAUGAAAUGUAGCAAUUUCCUCAUUUGUAAAGUAGUCCUUAUAGUGUAUGCAUGAGGAUUAGAUACACCCAAGUAUUUUAAUAAUAUAAUAAUAAUAUCUAAUUACACAUUAGAUAAAGGAUUCAAAAUAAUACCUGAUUUCUAACAAUUUGCCAAGAGCUAGCCUCCUGUUUUUUAAGUACAAACCAUGGGGAAGGAUGAAGACCUCAGGGCUGGGCAGCAGGAUCUUAGGUGACGUGUGUGUGUGUGUGUGUGUGUGUGUGUGUGUGUGUGUGUGUGUUUGUGCGCGCGCGCACCUGAGAUUUAGUCUUGGUGACACUGUCAUUUGGCUUUGAUCUGGGAAGGUCACCAUCAAAAACAUGUGGAUCUGAUAAACUGGGCAUGGUGGUGCCUGCCUGGAACCCUAGCACUAGCAGGCAGAAGCAGGAAAAUCACAAGUUCAAGGUCAUCCUUUGCUGCAUAGUGAGUUUGAGGUCAGCCUGGGCUGCAUGAGACCCUGGGGAGGAAGAAAGGAAGGGAGAGGAGGGAAAACUAUGUAGAUCUGGCAAUAUUUAGGGCCAGGCGGAGGUGGAGGUGGGCAUCAGAGUAAAAGAUGGCACUAGGCUUCGGUAGGAGCUACAGGGCAGCUGGGUGCCAGAGGCCCAGCCACCUCAUGCCCUGCUAGUGGCUGUCACAAAGGAAAGCGGAGUGAGGGGAGAGUUCACACAGGGGACUGGAGGGGACCAGCAGCUGAGGCCUGCAGGGGAGCGAGGAGAAGGGCAGCGUGUGGGAGAAGGGCAGCCUGUGGGAGCAUGAGCAAGGGCAGAGUGGAGGGGGCAGGGCUCAUCCUGGUAACACUCCGGAUGUGAGGGGAAGAGAAAAGGGAGAUGGAGACAGACAGACAGACACUGUUUCCCGCCCACCUCUUUAUCUCCCCCAAACAGGAGGUAGCUCAGAAGGAUCUAUGAUCCUGUGAGGUAAUGUUUAAUAAAUUGGUAAAGGAUAUGAACAGUAGGACAGAAGUGUCUGCAGGAAGGAGACAUUUGAAAUGAUGGAGGAGCAGAAACCACAAAAAGACAGGUGGGCUGCUUAGACUCUGGGCUGGAUGGUUACAUUCCCAGCAGCAGAACGCUUUAAAAAAAAUGAUGAGGGUAUCAGAAAGGACAUGUCUCCUACGAUUCCCAACAGGAAGAGAACUCUUUCUAUCCGGGCAGAGGACAGGGACCUAUGACCCUUCUGCCCACUCCCAGGAGUGGGUACUGGACUGAGCAUGCUCCCUGGCUAGUGGGGGACAAGUGGACCCAGGGAGGAGGCAGCACUGUUGGACACCUGUAAACGCUGUCGGAGCUGGCUUUGGGAAAGGUCCUGGGAAUACUUGGCAAAGGUUUGCCCCACGCCCUCAGGAGUCUCAGGACGCUGAAACAGCAGCAAGGCCGGGGGAUGUAACAUGUUCAAGGCCCCGGCUUCCACGGACGGAGGGAAACGCCAGAGCAGAAAGUGGUGACGUCAAUGACCGUCAUGGAACCAGCAACACAGAUUCCCCAGGGGGUGCUCACGAGGCACAGGAUGGACUUCUAUAGACUAACCAAACUAUGCUGGACAUAGCCGAAGAAGGUAGGGGGUUCUGACCUGCUAGCCUGGUUGGUCAGGACGUGCCAAAGCCCAAACUUACGGGCCCUUGAGUCUGUGUGAUUCCCCUGGCCUCUGGGGCUGAGGACUGCAGGAGCCCCAGCAGCUGGCUGGCAUGUCUACAGAGGGCCAAUAGGAGCCUGUCCUGCGGAUGUUUUAAUUAUCACGGGGUGAAGACAUACACGCUGUGUUGGUGGUACCAUCUAAUUUAGAAGAAGCUGUGCCAGGACCAGGAGCUGGGGGGAGGGGUCUAAACAGAUGGUAAUGACAGGUCAGAAUCUAACAAGAUGCUAAGUAUCAAAUGGAGAGAUGAAAGUCACAGCUUAAUACAGGGACCAUUUGCUCUUUGGAUCUGAUGGAGGAUGAAGGAUGUUAGCCUGGGGAUGUGGCUCAGUGGUUGAGAGUAUACACUGCUCUUGCAGAAAAUCCGAGUUCCUAGCACCCAAGUUGGGUAGCUCAGAACUGUCUGUAACUCCAGCUCCAGAUCUGAUGGUUCCAGCCUCUGUGGGUACCUGCACACAAGGGUGCAUAACCAUACACAGCCCCACACUCACAUAAUUAAAGAUAGUAAAAAUAGGGCUGGAGAGAUGGCUCAGAGGUUAAGAGCAGUGACUGCUCUUCUAGAGGUCCUGAGUUCAAUUCCCAGCAACCACAUGGUGGCUCAUAACCAUCUGUAAUGAGAUCUGGUGCCCCAUUCUGGCCUGCAGACAGACAUACAUGCAGGCAGAACAUUGUAUACUAAAUAAAUAAAUCUUUAAAAAAAAAAAAAGAUAGUAAAAAUAAAUAUUUUGUUAUACCAAGGGCUGAGGGUAUAGCCAUAUUGGCAGAAUGCUUGCCUAGCAUCCAUAAAGCUCUAGGCUCAAUCCCCAGCAUACACCAGGCCUAGAGGAACACACCUGGGAUCCCAGCACCUGGAGGCAGAGAGGAUCAGAAGUUCAAGCUCAUCCUCAGCUACAAAGGGAGUUUGAGGCCACUCUAGGAUCUAUGAGACCCCAUCUCAAAAAGAUAAAAACACAACAAAAUCUUAGGUGGACACUGGGAAUAUCCAGGGCAAAGGAAGGUGUUGGCCACAAGUGGGACUGGCAAAGGGAGGGAAGGCCUGUCUCCCUCAGAAAUCCCGGGCUGCCUUAGGAAUGAGCGGCAUGCACAGCGCACAGCUAUGCAGACUGCAGCAGGACUGGCAUCCCAGUCUGACUCGACGCACCUUUCACCCAGCUCGCCUUCAAACGUCUCCAGCCGUUCACUCCUUUACGGACACGGACUGCUUUCCCACCUUUCCCUGGGUUCUGGGGCUCCAACUCUGGUUUCCAGGCUUAUGAGCCAAGCACCUUUAUGUGCUGAGGAGGUGCAUCUCACCAGCCCUGAUGUUUCUGUAUCCCUCCCCCCAAACUAUUUCCCAGAUGAAACCAGCAUUCACUGACUCUUCUCCACUCCACUGAUAUCUUCAAGCAACCCAGUCGCAGAUAGUCAAAGGUGUGGCUUUUGUUCCAUCAGCCCCACCUCCAAGUUACAUCUCCUCUGUGACAGGAUGAGGAAGGGGCACCCAGACCAAAGAGGCUUUCUAGUAUAAGAUCUACACUCAAGAGUUUUGCCAGGUAAUAGUGACUUAGGGUCAGCAUUUUUCAAACCUCAGGUAUCCCCAUACCACACCACAUCUUUGCCAUAUUCCACAACUAUGCAUUCUGCAGCUUGCAUAAUACAAAGACAUGUGCCACCUAGCUGUGGGGACAGAAUGAAAAAAUGUAUUAAGACUUCACUGUUGUAUGCACAGUGUAGAAUGUACUCAAAAUAUACACAUAGAUGGUCUAGCUCAGUUACCUGAAGGGCUCUUGUGAUAUAAUCAGGAAAUGCCAUAAAUGUAAAGUGUAUGAGACCACUAAGAGCAUAACAUAGCAGACUGUGUUAGAGAAAGUUUUUUCUUAAUAGGAGUACAUACUAAAACAAUGUUUGAAACUACACUACAAUAAAUAUAUGUUAGGAACAUUGUCAUUCAUCAUUGUUACGUGCUAUAUACUGGGCAUAACUGUGUUAUAAUAUCUUUAUAUGAUAGACAUUGAAGCUUAAUUGUUGAGCCAGGCAUGGUGGCAAAUGCUUUUAAUCCCUGUACCAGCCCUGUACCAGCAGGGCUGAGGCAGGCAGAUCUCUGUGAGUUCAAGGCCAGUUGGGGCUUCAUAGUGAGGCCCUGUUCUAAAUAAAUAAUAAAAUUGUUGGCUUUUUGUUUCUUUAAGAGAGUCUCAGCAUGUGGCUCAGGCUGUCCUUGAAUCUGUGACCCACAGGGCUCUGCCCCCUGAAUGUGGAGGUCACAGCAGCACAGGCUUAUUUACAUCAGCAAACACAAGUCACGUUUUCCACUACGACUUUACAACAACUCUGGCAUCAUUAGGAGAUGGGAAUUCUUCAGUUCUGACCUAACCUUAUGGGGACACCACAGUACACAUGAUUCAUCACUAACUGAGCAUUCGGGACCAUGUGGCUGUAUUUAAAGUAAUUCAUCCUUGUAUUUCCAACUUCAAGGAAGAAACCUACCUCCACUAUGAAUAAACAACUAGGGUCACCAGCCCCAACCAGGGGGAAUGGAGGCUGAGAGUGAAUGUGAGCUCUGCUCCAACAGAGGAGGUUGGCUGCAUCCUGUUCACUCAGUUACUGGGGAGAUCUGGAGAGAGAGUCAGUCACUGCAGAACAUCAAACCACAGAACAGGAAGGGGCUAACCAUGCCCACUGUGUGAAACAGAAGCGUCAAGUAUACCUUCCCUGUACUGCCAAGACCACGGCAAGGACCAUGCUGGAGGGUGGAUGAUGGUUUCAGGGAACACACCUCAUAUUAAUUAGAGUUGAUACCUGCUUGUCAAUGUAGCUAGAGGAAGAGGCUGACAGUUGAGGCACUUGUGAGCAGGGAAGGGAAUCUGAAAUCACAUGACCUGCCAGGAGUGUGAGGAGAGGAAGGAACAAAGAAAGUAAAAUGCCUAGCAACAUGACUGGCUUUGUUUCGGCAGUGUGGAGCUGAGGCUGUGGGACUACACGGUGGUUGUUAAUUUUGGGAGGUUGGUGGGCAUUGAACCUAAGAUUUUACUAAGUAAUCUACUACUGAUCUAGUCCCCAGACGGUCUGGUGAUUUCAGUUUUUUGUUUCUUCGUUUUUUAAGAUUUUCUGAGUGUGUGUCUGUGUGGGUGUGUGUCUUGUGCAUGCAGGUGCCUUUGGAGGCCUGAAGAGGGUGUCAGAUACCCUGGAACUGGGGUUACAAGUGGUUGUGAGCCAUCUGAUAUAUGGGCUGGGAAUGGAACUUGGGCUCAGGUCCUCUGGAAGAACAGUGAGCGCUCUCUCCAGUACCUAAGGAGGACACGUGGAUGCAUGUGUAUAUGAAUCCCCUCUUCUCUUUUGCUAAAAACAGAAGUUUCCUGGCCUUAGAAUUGCGUAGGUUUCUACUGAGAGCUGUAACCGCCCUCCCAGCUAAGGCCAGCCCCUCUUCAAUUGGGCAAAAAUAAAACGGGGGCAAUUGUGACUUUAAAGACUGUCUCCAUAAACAAAACAAACCCACCCUACAAUUUGUUGAGGGCAUUCCUCCCUCCAAACCCUCCUGAUUUAAUUUCUGGGGAAUUUUAAAUAGAGGGCUUGCAGAAAUUCUGCACCCCCUGACGUCAACGGCUUUCUGACAGGGUGGAUUCCUCUGCGUGGCGUGGGGAGCAGCCACCACCAAUGCCCAUGCUUUUCCAGGCUCCUUUCCCAGUUGGAAAUUGGGAGCCACUGGUGUCACCUGAGUAUGCUGUGGGUCAGGGAGGGUGCCCAGGAGAAGUGUCCCACUUGGGGUCCUUUGAACUCCGCAGUUCCCCAAGCCCAUCAAGAUAUCUGAGCAACACCUGUACUAGUGUUUGCUGAAGCUGACAGCUUAAGAAAAUGUAAAUAUGCUUUUCAGAGAGAUGUUUUCCUGUGCCAUACACUGAAUGGAAAACCACCACCCCAAAUAGGAGAUAACUGGAAAAAUACACACAGCCAUGCCUGAAGUUGAGCAAGAUACUUGAUUAGGUCAGAGUUUUCUCUUAAACAAAGGCGAUCAACCAAUGUACUGACACUCCAGGAGCCCCAGUGAACUUUCUCCUAGACCUAAUAUGGAGCAAAAGGAACGGGAGGGGGUAAAGAGCUAUUCAGCAGGCGUCCAGCACACGUGUGUACAAACUACUCCUCAGAAAACACUGAUGGCCUACAAGCUACUUUCUUUUGAAAAAUGGGAACAGACUACCUGCCCUCCUUUCCCAAGGGAUGCUCUAAGGUAAUAGGUGGGAAACUUGCUUUGGAAAGUUCCUAGGUUGCUGGAAGAUAGAGGCAAAUUCAAGAAUCCAAUAGACUCCUCUGUCCCCAACCCCAGAUGUUAUAUACUGCCAGGGACUCAAAGGUUGCCUACCCCUGCCUGUCAGAGAAAAAGGACAGGAAGUAACUGCCACUUGGUGAUUUUCUUUCUCUAUAACCACACGGGAUUAAAAUACCUUCUUGCCAGGUGGUGGUGGUGGUGGUGGUGCACGCCUUUAAUCCCAGCACUCGGGAGGCAGUCAGGCGGAUCUCUGUGAGUUCGAGGCCAGCCUGGUCUGCAGAGCGAGAUCCAGGACAGGCACCAAAACUACACAGAGAAACCCCGUCUCGAAAAAAACAAAAAACAAAAAACAAAAAUAAAUAAAUAAAUAAAUAAAACAGACAGAAAAUACUUUCUCCGUUUUACAGACCAGAGACUGGAGCAGCCGCCAGCUGCACACGGUCCCAGGCUUGCUGGUCCCAGGCUUGCUGGACCCAGGCUGGCUACUCAGUAUCGUGGGAGCUGAGCACUCGACUCGAAUUUCAUGGGCCCUUGUGAGGAAAUGCUUUCUUUCUUGUUCUUUUUGACCCUGUGGGACUCAGAGUCCCCAUUUGUGCUGUUUUCCCUGGUUGUCACUGUGUUCGGGCCCUGUCCUUCAAGCCACCCCCUCUGUGAAGUUCCUUGACCCCCCAUCAGCUGGCACCCCAGUUUCCUCCCUCCAGCUACCCCGGCACUCUGACCUGAGGUUUGAGUUGACCAUAUCCCUAGCCAGAGCAAGAGAUCUCUGAGGACAGCACCUUGCUGCUCAGCUGGGCGUCUUGUGGGCGCCCCUGGCCUGGCAUCUUGUGGGCACCCCCGGCCUGGCUUGGGUGUUCUGGACAGAGAAGGGGCUGACUAAGCGGUUGCUGAGAACACAGGCAAUGAGAGAUCGGCACAGGCUUCUUCGGUCUCUGAUCUCUGCAGCCAGCCCACCCUCUCUGUACAUGCUCAGGAUCUCUCAAGCUCGGCUCCUGGGGUCUAUGUAAGCUGAGGCUGGGCUGGUUCUCCUCAGCCCCCAUCACUCCAGCCCAGAGCCUUCUGUCGGGGUAGAAGGGACUGCAGCUAUUCCUUGGCCAUUCUCUUCCAGUUCCCCAAUGCUGGAAAGUUACAGACAGCAUCCCCUCUGACCCGGGGGAUCUGCCACGGGGAACUGAGGAACAGCUAUUAUUGUAGGCUGUCUAACUGGCCUGAGGCCAUGCAGGAGGCAGACACUCCCAUCCAUGAGAGCUGAAGCCCCCGCAACCUGCUGGCGAACCCAACGGGAACAUUUCUACUUGGGCCUCUCCCCUCACAGGAACCGAAGAGCAAAGUUCAGAGAGGCCUGGAGGCCGCUCACCAGGGGCAAGGUUGCGGCUCCUGGAGGAAUGCUAGGGGAUGCUCACCUGAGGAAGCUAUGCAGUCUGGCCACAGCCUCCAUUGGGACCAUGUACACCUCCUCACAUACCAGGAGACACAACAACCUCUAACAGAACCUGCCCUGUUGGCUAAUAUCACAUCCAGUUUCCUGCCUGGGGACCACAUCUACAAGGUAUUUGCUGCAGCCAUGAAAAGAUUGAGCAAAGCAUCGGGAGCAGAGAUCCGGAGCAAGAGUAACAGGCUUGGGCCUUGUGCUCGCUUUGCCAUUUACGGUGUCUGAAGUGGGACAUCCAGCCAUCUGAUCCUCUUUUCCUCCCAUAGUGCAGCAGCAAAAAGGCCUGGCACCCCGUCUUCUUCAGAGCAUUUUCACACUGGCAGGACAGGUGAGAACCAGCCUCUGGGAUACGAUGGGAAGCAGACAACAGGCGAAGCUGUGGGUUCCAGGGUGAUACGAUGGUGUAGAGACAGGGUCUUUCAGUUAUCUGUGACAUCCACGUUCUUGUCACAACUGUUCCUGCCGGCCAGCCAUACCACUAAGAAUCUAGGCCCAGAGAAAAACCCAGUGUCUGCAGGUAUGGCCAAACACCGGGCCUGGUGCACACGUAGGAGGCUGACCCUGGCCCCUGUCGGGUCUGGGUGAUGAGGAAGAAGCCACGAAUGACAGGCAGGUACUCCCGAAUUUCCAGAAGCUUCCCCAAGGUCUGGCUGUCCUGACUACUCUAAAUGCGGGGUAUUACCCCGCCCCGCCACCCUGAAGCCCCUAACCUCGAGCAACUGCAGAGCUGUGGGAAUGAAGCGCCACACACCCAAUCCUGUCUUAAACCGUGUGUGCUGGACACUUCCCCGGAGGAGAACACGUUCCACAUUCCAAACUAAUAAACCUAUGGUGGGCUGCAGGCCUGGGGGGAGGGAGAGGGGCGGGGGCUGCCAACUCCCAAACUCCAUGGAGAAUGACAGUGAGCCAAAGGCUUGGGGGACCAGUUUUCACAGCUCAGGGAUUCUGCCAGGCCCCAUGGAAUGCAAAUCCCUGGCCUUCCCAGCCCUGCCCUCCUUCAGGAUCUCAGGGGAGGCCUCUCCCUCUUUGGGAAUUCUAUUGUUCAUACCUCUGAGCAGCUUCUAAGCUACCAGCUGCAUCCUAGGCUCUCCCCACUUCCUUUGCUACAACUCAGCUCUGCACAGAGACAACUUCUUAAGUUUCCUAGACUCCAUGUGCUUCUUUCCCUUUUUGACUACGCCACCGGGAAACCUGGCCACUGCGUCAGCCUGUAGCUGCCAGCCCCGUAUUUAAUGGCAGCAGCAGCAGCUGAGGGGUGUUUCCAUGUGUGGAGCAUGCCCCUAUCUCUCCCACUGUCUGACAUGGACACACAAGGGCUCCACUUGUUCCACCAGCCCCACCUGGUUCAUCCGUGUUUUAUAGAGUAAUUGUCUACACUGAUGGCUACUCUAGGGAGCCGGAGCAGACACAGCCAUGAAAGAGACCACUGCCCCUGGGAGAGCACGCCACAAAAUAAGAUGAAGACAGGACGAAAAGGCCAAAGGCCAGUUCCCCCAACUCUCUACUAUGCUUCUGUCAGAACUUGGUUCAUCCUGCUUGAAGAUCACGUGGUUUCCAAUGGGCAGUGCUGGGAGGCAAGGCCUCACUGGGUCAUGCAGCACAACCAUCGGGAAGGGGUUAAUGCCUUUCUCCCAGGAAUGGCUUAGCUUCUGAUGUGGGUCUUGGGCCUCCUUUGUCCCUUCUGCACAUGCCCACUUGCCCUUCUGCUGUCUGCUGCUGAGCAGGGGCAACUCUGUGACCAUGGACUUCUCGGCCUCUUGAGCCUUGAACCAAAAUAUAAACCCCUUUCUGUUUUGUUUUUCAAGACAGGGUUUCUCUGUGUAGACCUGGCUGUCCUGGAACUUACUCUGUAGACCAGGCUGGUCUCAGACUCCGAGAUCCACCUGCCUCUGAGUGCUGGGAUUAAAGGUGUGCACCACCAUACCUGG